UGAGUAACCUGCCCUUAACUCUGGGAUAAGCCUGGGAAACUGGGUCUAAUACCGGAUAUGACUCCUCAUCGCAUGGUGGGGAGUGGAAAGCUUUAUUGUGGUUUUGGAUGGACUCGCGGCCUAUCAGCUAGUUGGUGAGGUAACGGCUCACCAAGGCGACGACGGGUAGCUGGUCUGAGAGGAUGGCCAGCCACAUUGGGACUGAGACACGGCCCAGACCUCCGUACGGGAGCAG
rnacentral:rRNA from 1 species